rnacentral:rRNA from 1 species
CAAUAGCGUAUAUUUAAGUUGUUGCAGUUAAAAAGCUCGUAGUUGGAUUUCGGUUAAGAGCGACCGGUCCGCCGUUUGGUGUGCACUGGUUGGUUUUAACUUCCUGUAGAGGACGUGCUCUGGGUUUAACGACCUGGACUCGGAGUCUACGUGGUUACUUUGAAAAAAUUAGAGUGUUCAAAGCGGGCUUACGCUUGAAUAUUUCAGCAUGGAAUAACACUAUAGGACUCCUGUCCUAUUUCGUUGGUCUCGGGACGGGAGUAGUGAUUAAGAGGAACAGUUGGGGGCAUUCGUAUUUCAUUGUCAGAGGUGAAAUUCUUGGAUUUAUGAAAGACGAACUUCUGCGAAAGCAUUUGCCAAGGAUGUUUUCAUUA